rnacentral:ncRNA from 1 species
AAAGACUUAGUCCUAACCUUACUAUUGGUUUCUGCUAGACAUAUACAUGCAAGUAUCCGCAUUCCAGUGAAAAUGCCCCUAAAUCUUUUCUCCACAAGCUAAAGGAGCAGGUAUCAGGCACACCCAACAAGUAGCCCAAAACACCUUGCUAAGCCACACCCCCACGGGUAUUCAGCAGUAAUUAACCUUAAGCAAUAAGUGUAAACUUGACUUAGCCAUAGCAACCCCUAGGGUUGGUAAAUCUUGUGCCAGCCACCGCGGUCAUACAAGAAACCCAAAUCAAUAGCCAUCCGGCGUAAAGAGUGGUCAUAUGUUAUCUACAUCAACUAAGAUCAAAAUGGAACUAAGCUGUCAUAAGCCCAAGAUCCACCUAAGCCCAACCUGAAAAUCAUCUUAGCCCCAUGACUAAUUUCAACCCACGAAAGCCAGGGCACAAACUGGGAUUAGAUACCCCACUAUGCCUGGCCCUAAAUCUAGAUGCCCCUCAUACACCUACAUCCGCCCGAGAACUACGAGCACAAACGCUUAAAACUCUAAGGACUUGGCGGUGCCUCAAACCCACCUAGAGGAGCCUGUUCUAUAACCGAUAAUCCACGAUCCACCUAACCACCCCUUGCCAACACAGCCUACAUACCGCCGUCGCCAGCUCACCUCUAAUGAAAGAACAACAGUGAGCCCAACAGUCCCCACUAGCAAGACAGGUCAAGGUAUAGCCCAUGGGGUGGAAGAAAUGGGCUACAUUUUCUAGCAUAGAACAUAACGGAAAAGAGCGUGAAACUCGCCCUUAGAAGGAGGAUUUAGCAGUAAAGUAGGACCACACUCCCCUUCAAGCCUUCUUAAAGACGGCCCUGAGGCACGUACAUACCGCCCGUCACCCUCUUCACAAACCAUCAAUACCUAUAAAUAAUUCACCUUCCCAGGUUAAAGACGAGGCAAGUCGUAACAAGGUAAGCGUACCGGAAGGUGCGCUUAGACCAC